rnacentral:rRNA from 1 species
UUGGUGGAUCAGUGGCGAACGGGUGAGUAACACGUGAGCAACCUGCCCUGGACUCUGGGAUAAGCGCUGGAAACGGCGUCUAAUACUGGAUAUGAGACGUGAUCGCAUGGUCGUGUUUGGAAAGAUUUUUCGGUCUGGGAUGGGCUCGCGGCCUAUCAGCUUGUUGGUGAGGUAACGGCUCACCAAGGCGUCGACGGGUAGCCGGCCUGAGAGGGUGACCGGCCACACUGGGACUGAGACACGGCCCAGACUCCUACGGGAGGCAGCAGUGGGGAAUAUUGCACAAUGGGCGGAAGCCUGAUGCAGCAACGCCGCGUGAGGGAUGACGGCCUUCGGGUUGUAAACCUCUUUUAGCAGGGAAGAAGCGAAAGUGACGGUACCUGCAGAAAAAGCGCCGGCUAACUACGUGCCAGCAGCCGCGGUAAUACGUAGGGCGCAAGCGUUAUCCGGAAUUAUUGGGCGUAAAGAGCUCGUAGGCGGUUUGUCGCGUCUGCUGUGAAAUCCCGAGGCUCAACCUCGGGUCUGCAGUGGGUACGGGCAGACUAGAGUGCGGUAGGGGAGAUUGGAAUUCCUGGUGUAGCGGUGGAAUGCGCACAUAUCAGGAGGAACACCGAUGGCGAAAGCAGAUCUCUGGGCCGUAACUGA